rnacentral:rRNA from 1 species
UACGAAGGGGGCUAGCGUUGCUCGGAAUCACUGGGCGUAAAGCGCACGUAGGCGGAUUGCUAAGUCAGGGGUGAAAUCCUGGAGCUCAACUCCAGAACUGCCUUUGAUACUGGCGACCUCGAGUCCGGGAGAGGUGAGUGGAAUUCCUAGUGUAGAGGUGAAAUUCGUAGAUAUUAGGAAGAACACCAGUGGCGAAGGCGGACUCACUGGCCCGGUACUGACGCUGAGGCG